rnacentral:misc_RNA from 1 species
UCUCGGCUUAUCACCGGCAGUCCCCCUAGAGUGCCCAACUGAAUGAUGGCAACUAAGGGCGAGGGUUGCGCUCGUUGCGGGACUUAACCCAACAUCUCACGACACGAGCUGACGACGGCCAUGCAGCACCUGUCACUUGGCUCCCGAAGGCACCCCACCGUUUCCGGCGGGUUCCAAGGAUGUCAAGCCUGGGUAAGGUUCUACGCGUAGCGUCAUAUUAAACCACAUGAUCCUCUGCUUGUGCGGUUCCCCGUCAAUUCCUUUGAGUUUUAGCCUUGCGGCCGUACUUCCCAGGCGGCAUACUUAUCGCGUUAGCUGCGACGCACAGGGGGUCGAUACCCCAUACGUCUAGUAUGCAUCGUUUACGGCGUGGACUUC